UGGCACACAGAAGAAAUAAAUAAAUCCGAACUAUUGAGAUGAGAGAUGAGAAGCGAAGGUAUGUUUUCACAGUCCUCCGAAUUUCCAGUUCGGGUAUGAUUUUUGAAUCUUGCGUAAUUAUAUGUGCAAAUUUCUUUUGGGUUUAGUUCUGAUACUCCCUAUAUUUCAGAAAAGGCACUGUAAUUCGGAUUCUUCUGUCAAGAUAUGAACGAUUUCAUUGAGAAAUUCUGCUAAAUUUUCUUAUUCUUUGUUUUGCUUUAAUUGUUCAAUUUGUUCUUACUAAAUCCUUCAUUCCACAUUACUCCAUGUUAUUAUAAUUAAUUGUGCUGUAUACUCAUCUUGUAAGUGUGCCCAUUGAGGAAUGGGAUUCAAAAAGAUGGAGGUUAUGUGUAUUUCAAAAUAGGGGUUUUAAUGUUUGCCCACUGGUUUUAACUUCUGGUUCAGCUCCCUUACCUUGUGCAAUCAAUUUUACUUAUAAGUACUUCUUGUACUAGCUAGUAAGACGAUUAUUUAUUAUUCUUUUGAAGAUUCAUGAUUCACUGUCAAAACCUCGAUGAAUUCUUUGCUGCUCAGGAGUUUUUGUUUUGAGUAAUUGUGUAUUAGUCAAAUGGCUACUCCGAAGUUUUUUUUUCAGUUUUCUAGUUCUGAACAUUGUUGAACUGCUGUAAUAAAUAUUUGCAAGUCCUUCAUUACUUUGAAUCAUGGUUGGCCUAACUUGGUUUGUUUUGAUCGUGUUUACCUUUCAAUGCCGUAUAUGUGGUUUUGCCAACCUUGAUUUUCUACACCAAAUAUUUACAUACAUGCUUCUUAGAACAAGUCCAGUGGAUCAACAGUAGAAUACGUUAUAAUAGUUGGCAUCUUUAUGUCCCCAUUGAAUUUCUGAGUUCUCAUUCUUGAAUUGUUCAGUUUUUCUUGGUUAAUAUGGUCAUAUUUCUAUUUCUUCUAAGCUUGAAUGUUCCCAAGAUUACUCGCCUCAAAAUAUCAUUUGUUUGAUCACGUCUCUGUGUUAUUCUUACUUUUUGGUGCAAAUUGCAUAUGUAAUAUUUAGCAUAUAUGGUUAUAGACGAGUGAACAUUGAAUGAAAAGUGUGGUUUUUAUCCUGUAUUGAGAAGUUAAAACCGAAUCUAAGUUGUCAUGUUGUCCUUUUAUUUGCUCUAGCCUUAGCCAUAUUUGAAAUCGUAUAAAUGCUUACUUGGCUAAUCAAUCUGGAAGAAGUUUAUAGCUUGUUGCUUCCCUUCAUGAACAGAAAAAGAAAGAGAAAAGAAAGUGACUUGGCAAAAUGAAUUGCUUCCCUGUGUGUCUCUUGUGUUUUUGUUGGCUCACUUUUUAGCGUAAAGUUUUCCUUGACAAAAUGGGUGAGUAUUGGCUUGCUUCUGGAAUGGAACAAGUUUCACUCAGUAUGUAAUAAGGGGUGCCUAUGCUCCAAAGGACAUUAAGUGCAUAUCUCAUACUGAACAUUCAUCAAACGUUGAUGUCUAUAACAGUUUUUGAUAUCAUUCAAUUUUUUCCCCAUACACAAACUACACAAUUAUUUGUACCUUAUGGAACAUUUUUUGUCUUUAAAAUGUUGAACAAAAGAUUGUUCCAUUAAUUUGCAUCUCUCAUUUAUUUGCAGUAACUUUGUUUUUUAAUUGUCUUUCUCCACCCACGACUGAGUAGAAUUUCUUAAAUGUAAAUGCACAGUGUCCUAAUUUCAACAAUGGCCGGGACAAAGGUUGUAAUCCCGCAAUGGUAAGCUAACCCCAAAUACUCAUCCUUAGUUCGGAUUGCAAGCUACAACUCACCUGCAUGAAGCCAAAAUCACUAGUAAUCACUGAUUAGCCAUAUGGCUG
rnacentral:lncRNA from 1 species